AACGAACGCUGGCGGCAUGCCUAACACAUGCAAGUCGAACGAGACCUUCGGGUCUAGUGGCGCACGGGUGCGUAACGCGUGGGAAUCUGCCCCUUGGUUCGGAAUAACACAGAGAAAUUUGUGCUAAUACCGGAUGAUGACGAAAGUCCAAAGAUUUAUCGCCAAGGGAUGAGCCCGCGUAAGAUUAGGUAGUUGGGGGGGUAAAGGCCUACCAAGCCGACGAUCUUUAGCUGGUCUGAGAGGAUGAUCAGCCACACUGGGACUGAGACACGGCCCAGACUCCUACGGGAGGCAGCAGUGGGGAAUAUUGGACAAUGGGCGAAAGCCUGAUCCAGCAAUGCCGCGUGAGUGAUGAAGGCCCUCGGGUCGUAAAGCUCUUUUACCAGGGAUGAUAAUGACAGUACCUGGAGAAUAAGCUCCGGCUAACUCCGUGCCAGCCGCCGCGGUAAUAC
rnacentral:rRNA from 1 species